rnacentral:rRNA from 1 species
AGAGUUUGAUCAUGGCUCAGAUUGAACGCUGGCGGCAGGCCUAACACAUGCAAGUCGAACGGUAACAGGAAGCAGCUUGCUGCUUCGCUGACGAGUGGCGGACGGGUGAGUAAUGUCUGGGAAACUGCCUGAUGGAGGGGGAUAACUACUGGAAACGGUAGCUAAUACCGCAUAACGUCGCAAGACCAAAGAGGGGGACCUUCGGGCCUCUUGCCAUCAGAUGUGCCCAGAUGGGAUUAGCUAGUAGGUGGGGUAACGGCUCACCUAGGCGACGAUCCCUAGCUGGUCUGAGAGGAUGACCAGCCACACUGGAACUGAGACACGGUCCAGACUCCUACGGGAGGCAGCAGUGGGGAAUUUUGGACAAUGGGGGCAACCCUGAUCCAGCCAUGCCGCGUGCGGGAAGAAGGCCUUCGGGUUGUAAACCGCUUUUGUCAGGGACGAAAAGGGACGGGUUAAGAGCUAGUUCCGCUGACGGUACCUGAAGAAUAAGCACCGGCUAACUACGUGCCAGCAGCCGCGGUAAUACGUAGGGUGCAAGCGUUAAUCGGAAUUACUGGGCGUAAAGCGUGCGCAGGCGGUUGGGUAAGACAGAUGUGAAAUCCCCGGGCUUAACCUGGGAACUGCAUUUGUGACUGUCCGACUGGAGUACGUCAGAGGGGGGUGGAAUUCCGCGUGUAGCAGUGAAAUGCGUAGAUAUGCGGAAGAACACCGAUGGCGAAGGCAGCCCCCUGGGACGCAACUGACGCUCAUGCACGAAAGCGUGGGGAGCAAACAGGAUUAGAUACCCUGGUAGUCCACGCCCUAAACGAUGUCUGCCGGUUGUUGGGGAUUUAUAUCUUCAGUAACGAAGCUAACGCGUGAAGCAGACCGCCUGGGGAGUACGGUCGCAAGAUUAAAACUCAAAGGAAUUGACGGGGACCCGCACAAGCGGUGGAUGAUGUGGAUUAAUUCGAUGCAACGCGAAAAACCUUACCUAGCCUUGACAUGUCAGGAAUGCUUCGUAAAUGAGGCAGUGCCCGCAAGGGAACCUGAGCACAGGUGCUGCAUGGCUGUCGUCAGCUCGUGUCGUGAGAUGUUGGGUUAAGUCCCGCAACGAGCGCAACCC